rnacentral:misc_RNA from 1 species
CUGAGUGAGGGCCCUCUGGGUCCAACCUCCCACCCGUGUUUAUUGUACCUUGUUGCUUCGGUGAGCCCGCCUCACGGCCGCCGGGGGGCUUCUGCCCCCGGGCCCGCGCCCACCGAAGACACCAUUGAACUCUGUCUGAAGAUUGCAGUCUGAGCAUAAACUAAAUAAGUUA